UACGGAGGGGGCGAGCGUUCUUCGGAAUUAUUGGGCGUAAAGGGCGCGUAGGCGGCUCUACAAGUCAAAGGUGAAAUCCCUCGGCUCAACUGAGGAACUGCCUUUGAAACUGUAAGGCUUGAGGCCGGGAGGGGGUAGCGGAAUUCCCAGUGUAGCGGUGAAAUGCGUAGAUAUUGGGAGGAACACCAGUGGCGAAGGCGGCUACCUGGACCGGUUCUGACGCUGAUGCGCGAAAGCGUGGGUAGCAAACAGG
rnacentral:rRNA from 1 species